rnacentral:rRNA from 1 species
AUUGAACGCUGGCGGCAGGCCUAACACAUGCAAGUCGAGCCAGCGGCGGACGGGUGAGUAAUGUAUGGGGACUGCCCGAUAGAGGGGGAUCACUACUGGAAACGGUGGCUAAUACCGCCUACUAUCGGAUAACCCAUAUGGGAUUCGCUAGUAGGUGGGGUAAAGGCUCACCUAGGCGACGAUCUCUAGCUGGUCUGAGAGGAUGAUCGGCCACGAUGGGACUGCGACAAGGCCCGUACACAUGCGGAGGCAGCAGGAGGGAAGAUGAGACCAUGGGCGACAGCCUGAGGCAGCCAUGCAGCUUGUAUGAAGAAGGCCGUAGGGUUGUAAAGGACUUUCAGCGAAGAGGCGUGAGCCGCAGAGGAAGUAUCGGCUAAAUCCGUGCCAGCAGCCGCGGUAAUUC